UGGGGAAUUUUGGACAAUGGGCGAAAGCCUGAUCCAGCAAUGCCGCGUGUGUGAAGAAGGCCUUCGGGGUUGUAAAGCACUUUUUGUCCGGAAAGAAAAUCCUUGGCUCUAAUACAGUCGGGGGAUGACGGUACCGGAAGAAUAAGCACCGGCUAACUACGUGCCAGCAGCCGCGGUAAUACGUAGGGUGCAAGCGUUAAUCGGAAUUACUGGGCGUAAAGCGUGCGCAGGCGGUUUGCUAAGACCGAUGUGAAAUCCCCGGGGCUCAACCUGGGAACUGCAUUGGUGACUGGCAGGCUAGAGUAUGGCAGAGGGGGGUAGAAUUCCACGUGUAGCAGUGAAAUGCGUAGAGAUGUGGAGGAAUACCGAUGGCGAAGGCAGCCCCCUGGGCCAAUACUGACGCUCAUGCACGAAAGCGUGGGG
rnacentral:rRNA from 1 species